ACUCAAAGGAAUUGACGGGGGCCCGCACAAGCGGUGGAGCAUGUGGUUCAAUUCGAUGCAACGCGAAGAACCUUACCGGGGUUUGAACUGUAGUGGAAGAACUCAGAGAUGAGUUCGCCUAGCAAUAGGCCGCUAUAGAGGUGCUGCAUGGCUGUCGUCAGCUCGUGUCGUGAGAUGUUGGGUUAAGUCCCGCAACGAGCGCAACCCUUGCUUUUAGUUGCUCAUUUAUCGAAAGGUGAAUAGCACUCUAAAAAGGACUGCUGGUGAUAAACCGGAGGAAGGUGGGGAUGACGUCAAGUCAUCAUGGCCUUUAUGCCCCGGGCCACACACGUGCUACAAUGGCCGGUACAAAGGGUCGCAAAAUCGCAAGGUGGAGCCAAUCCCAGAAAACCGGCCUCAGUUCGGAUUGCACUCUGCAACUCGAGUGCAUGAAGGUGGAAUCGCUAGUAAUCGCGGAUCAGCAUGCCGCGGUGAAUACGUUUCCGGGCCUUGUACACACCGCCCGU
rnacentral:rRNA from 1 species